rnacentral:tRNA from 1 species
GCAUUGGGGGUUCAGCGGUGGAGUUCUCGCCUUCCAUGUGGGAGGCCCUGGUUUGAUUCCUGGCCCGCGCA